rnacentral:lncRNA from 1 species
GCUAGCUACCCCCUGGGCGGCAGGGGGAUGCCCAUCUCUACGUUUUCGCUUUCUCUGCUGCCUCUGGAUUGCCAGAUGCGACUAUGCGGUUGGCCCUGUGCAUGUGCCGCGGCCCCCUUUUCCCUCGCCAGGCAGAGCUGACAUCACCGGUAGCACCUUCUGCCCUGGCAAGGCGACUAGAUCAUUCCCGGCAGGUUCUGGAACGCCUUUGACCCAGGGCCAGAAUGACUUGGGGGUGAGGUGGGGGAGUCGUUGUCCCGAAGGUGGAGAUGCACUUGACAGGCCUCUAGUCAGAAUUUUUCCCGAGGAGGUGGAACUCCUCUCUCUGGU